AUUGAACGCUGGCGGCAUGCUUUACACAUGCAAGUCGAACGGUAACAGGUUAAGCUGACGAGUGGCGAACGGGUGAGUAAUGCAUCGGAACGUGCCCGAUCGUGGGGGAUAACGCAGCGAAAGCUGCGCUAAUACCGCAUACGAUCUGAGGAUGAAAGCGGGGGACCGUAAGGCCUCGCGCGAUCGGAGCGGCCGAUGUCAGAUUAGGUAGUUGGUGGGGUAAAGGCUCACCAAGCCGACGAUCUGUAGCUGGUCUGAGAGGACGACCAGCCACACUGGGACUGUGGCACGGCCCAGACUCCUACGGGAGGGAGCAGUGGGGAAUGUUGGACAAUGGGCGCAAGCCUGAUCCAGCAAUGCCGCGUGCAGGAAGAAGGCCUUCGGGUUGUAAACUGCUUUUGCACGGAGCGAAAAGGCUCUCUCUAAUACAGGGGGUUCAUGACGGUACCGUAAGAAUAAGCACCGGCUAACUACGUGCCAGCCGCCGUAAUAC
rnacentral:rRNA from 1 species